rnacentral:tRNA from 1 species
AAAGGGAGACCUAAUUCAGGUAGGAGACGAAAAAAAAGUAGUCGCUACCAAGAAUCAAUCCCAAAAGGUCGGAGCGAGGCGAAAUUGGCUUUCAAACUAGGUUCUGGGUUCAAACAAGACCUGAAUCAGGAACAAGGGCUAUUAGCUCAGGUGGUUAGAGCGCACCCCUGAUAAGGGUGAGGUCCCUGGUUCGAGUCCAGGAUGGCCCGCCUGCACAGGUGGCAAAAACAAGAGAAGCGAGGAAUCAGCACCUUAUCUUACUUAUAUAGUAAGAGAGAAUGCUGGCUCUGAGUAAAGAGUCCAGAGGAACCUUGAAAACUGCAUAGAGCUAGGUGAAAAAGCCAAAAAAGAAGACCGCAAG